rnacentral:rRNA from 1 species
CCCUUAGAUGUCCUGGGCCGCACGCGCGUUACACUGAUGCAUUCAACGAGCUUAUAACCUUGGCCGAGAGGCCUGGGCAAUCUUGUUAACGUGCAUCGUGAUAGGGAUAGAUUAUUGAAAUUAUUAAUCUUGAACGAGGAAUUCCUAGUAAACGCAGAUCAUCAAUCUGCAUUGAUUACGUCCCUGCCCUUUGUACACACCGCCCGUCGCACCUACCGAUUGGAUGGUCCGGUGAAAUCUUCGGAUUGAGACUUUGAUUUGUUUACUCAAAACGCUGUUUCAAGAAGUUGAUUAAACCUUACCAUUUAGAGGAAGGUGAAGUCGUAACA